GGAGUACUGGGUCCACUGGAGAGCGAAGAGCCGCGGCCGCCAGGAUUCCCAGCAGCGGCCGCGUGUUGAGAGCCUAGAAGUGGCCCCGAAGCCGUGCCUUUCCCGAUAGCCAAGCAGAAGUAGGACUUGAAGCACCGAGGCUGGGAUGCCCAUGCUGGUGACGCCUUGGGGCUCGCAGUUAUACUUGGUGACCGGUCUACACGGCGAUUCGGUGCUUUCCGGAGUAGCAGAUUCAUCUAUCUUUAGACCCACCUUCGUCCUUCGGCGGUUUAGCACGGCCUGCGCUUUCCUGCGAGCCCUGCUGUCACCCGAACAGCCUGAUGACUUCACGCUCAACCACUGGAGGGCACAACCACAUCAUUUUUAAAAAAUAGAUUCCUCCACUUAAAGGACAUGGUUUUGGGGGAAAGAACAUUUAAAAAAUGUAAAAAGAUAUAUAUCUAUAUCUAUAUAUCUAUCUCAGAUUGUUCUGAUAUAAACUCAGGUGGGAUUCUUCAAAACAGGAGGCUGUUCCAGUCUCUUCAUUUUGCAGCUGAGAAAACGAAGGCCUUGGAGCUUGAGAACUCCAGUUGCCCAAGGCACACAGGUGGUGGUGAAAGCAUAUUGACUUUCCUGACUUCUUAUGACCACAUUUGAGGAAAGGAGUAAGCACUGGAAUCACCAACACAGCAUGCUUACGGAGGGUGGUCACCAGCUUCAUCAGCCUCCCAAUUCCACGGAGC
rnacentral:lncRNA from 1 species